rnacentral:sRNA from 1 species
UCCGGGUGCAGUGGCGUAUGCCUGCAAUCCCAGCAGCUCCGGAGGCUGAGGCAGGAGGAUCAUGAGUUCAAAGCCAGCCUCAGCAACUUAGGGAGGCCCUAAGCAACUCAGUGAGACCCUGUCUCUA